rnacentral:rRNA from 1 species
CCCUUAGAUGUUCUGGGCCACACGCGCGUUACACUGAUGAAGCCAGCGAGUAUAUCGCCUUCACCGGAAGGUGCGGGUAAUCUUGUGAAACUUCAUCGUGCUGGGGAUAGACCAUUGCAAUUAUUGGUCUUGAACGAGGAAUUCCUAGUAAGCAUGAGUCAUCAACUCGUGCUGAUUACGUCCCUGCCCUUUGUACACACCGCCCGUCGCUACUACCGAUUGAAUGGUUUAGUGAGAUCUCGGGAUUGGAGACGUUGCGCCGCAAGGCACAUCGUCCUCGAGACCUUGAUCAAACUUGAUCAUUUAGAGGAAGUAAAAGUCGUAACA